CCCCAACUGCUAUUUGGUCUUGGGGCUGAAACAGAGGAGCCUGAACCUCGGGCUCAGUGCCCGGUCCUGCCUCACCCCCGGCCUGGGUGAUGGAGUCUUAGGGGGUCCCUUGCUGGAGCUGCUGAGGUCCCUGAGGCGUGGGGGCUCUGCCUGACCCUCAGAUUUUCCCCAGACCAUCAAUCAUCUCAUUAGCCCUCACCCCCACCCACACCCACACAGCGAGCUGGGCUCAGAGUCUAUUUUGCAGAUGGGAAAGGGGAGGUGGAGAGGAAUAAAGGGUAUUCACCCAGAAAGCCACAGCCGGCUGGCCCUGUGGAGGAAUGGUGGCUUUCCCAUCCAUCUAACUGGGGUCCCCACUGUAGGGAUGUCCAGUGAGAAUGGGCUGCGUAUGAAAUAGGUGCUUAGGAAAUGGGAACACGACACCCGUCCCUCACUUUCCUGGCCCAGUUUAUCCCAGAGACCCCAGGAGGGGUCAGGCAGGGAGUGGAGCCAGUGCCCAGCCCACACGGGCACUGGGCAGUGGAGGGCGGGGCUGGCCGGGCCUGGCUGCCCACCCUGCAUCCCCUCUCAGCUCCACCUCCCCGGGCAAGGGCGGGCACCUUGAAGAAGUCAUCCUGAUGGAUCACGCAGCAGUUGGGCAGGGCUCUGAGCAGGCUGUUGGUCAGCGUGGUCUUGCCGCCGUUGGUCAUGCUGGGGAGACAGCGUGUGCAUGAGACUGCCUGGGCUCCCCCCAAGAAGGUCAGGGUGCUCAGAAGGGGGCCUGAGGUGCAGCCUGGGCUCCCCGGGGCCUGUCCAUGUCUCAGGGUCUUCCUGCAAAUCAGCUCCCAGGAUUUUUCUGAUUCUUUUUCUUUUUUUUUGAGACCAAGUCUUGCUCUGCCACCCAGGCUGGAGUGCAGUGGCGCGAUCUCAGCUCACUGCAAGCUCUACCUCCCGGGUUCAAGCAAUUCUCCUGCCUCAGCCUCCUGAGUAGCUGGGACUACAGGCACACGCCACCACGCCUGGCUAAUUUUUGUAUUUUUAGUAGAGACAGGGUUUCUUUCUUUUUUUUUUUUCCGAGACGGAGUUUCACUCUGUUGCCCAGGCUGGAGUACAAUGGCGCAAUCUUGGCUCACUGCAACCUCUGCCUCCCAGGUUCAAGCAAUUCUUUUGCCUCAGCCUCCCAAGUAGCUGGGAUUACAGGCGUGCGCCACCACACCCAACUAAUUUUUGUGUUUUUAAUAGCGAUGGGGUUUUGCCAUGUCGGCCAGGCUGGUCUCGAACUCCUAACCUCUGGUGAUCCGCCUGCCUUGGCCUCCCAAAGUGCUGGGAUUACAGGUGUGAGCCCGGCCCACCUAUGUUUACAGAUAAGGAAAUUGAUUUAGUCUCAGCAGGGCUUAAAAAAAUAAAACAGCACCGGCCAUGCACGGUGGCUCAUGCCUGUAAUCCCAGCACUUUGGGAGGCCGAAGCAGGUGGAUCGCUUGAGCUCAGGACUAGCCUGGGCAACAUAGUAAGACCCCAUCUUAACAAAAAAUUAAAAACUAGCCAGGUGUGGUGGUGCAUGCCUGUAGUCCUAGCUACUUGGGAGGCUGAGAUGGGAGGAUCGCCUGAGCCUGGGAGUUCGAGG
rnacentral:lncRNA from 1 species